rnacentral:rRNA from 1 species
CCCUUAGAUGUUCUGGGCCGCACGCGCGCUACACUGAUGCAUUCAACGAGUUUCUUCCUGGUCCGAGAGGAAUGGGUAACCUUUUGAAAGUGCAUCGUGAUAGGGAUAGACUAUUGCAAUUAUUGGUCUUCAACGAGGAAUUCCUAGUAGACGUAGUUCAUCAGACUGCAUCGAUUACGUCCCUGCCCUUUGUACACACCGCCCGUCGCUCCUACCGAUUGAAUGCUCAGGUGAGCCAUUCGGACUUUCAUCAUGCUGGUUUCCAGUUUUGAUGAAGGAAAGUCUUGCGAACCUUAUCAUCUAGAGGAAGUAAAAGUCGUAACA